rnacentral:misc_RNA from 1 species
ACUGCCCUGGUUGCAAUGGGAAACCUCUAAUGAUGCUUUUCCUUUAUCGAGCAAUAAAUCAGAGAUGAUGGCUACUCCAAAAACUAAUUUAUGGGAAGCUGCUCAGGAUGUAACCCGUAUGCAAGAUUCAAGCAACCAUUCCAUUAGUAGCCGUGGGAGUUGGAGCCCAGGACUUCUCGAUGGCCAAUCCUCAAAUAUUGAGGGGAAUAGAUUUGGAGAAAUUGGAAGUUAUUAUAGUCAAUUUUCAUCAGAUGGAACAACAAGAAGGCCACAGCAAGAUGUUGACGAGUAUCUGGAGCGUAAAAGUGAAGAAGCUUUUCUCUUUGAAAGAUGGAGUCAACAACAGAGAAUCCAUUCAGGCAGUCUUUUGCUUUGUAACCAAAUAUUCUUUUAGCCGUAAUCUUCUUCUUUUUUUUUUUUUUCAAUUCGAAUUCACAUUAAUUUCUUUGUAUAGAUGUUUACAUCUAAUUCUCCUGGAAAUUGUUGACAUUAAUCUCUAUCAAAGCAGCAUAAGCUGUAUUUAGUUA